GACGAACGCUGGCGGCGUGCCUAAUACAUGCAAGUCGAACGAGUGGCGAACGGGUGAGUAACACGUGGGAACCUACCCAUCAGAGGGGGAUAACUACUGGAAACGGUGGCUAAUACCGCAUACUAUCGGAUGAACCCCUAUGAGAUUAGCUAGUAGGGGGGUGAAAGGCUCACCUAGGCGACGAUCUCUAGCUGGUCUGAGAGGAUGAGCGUCCACACUGGUACUGAGACACGGCCCAGACUCCUACGGGAGGCAGCAGUGGGGAAUAUUGCACAAUGGGCGCAAGCCUGAUGCAGCCAUGCCGCGUGUAUGAAGAAGGCCUGAGGGUUGUAAAGUACUUUCAGCGGGGAGGCGUUACCCGCAGAAGAAGCACCGGCUAACUCCGUGCCAGCAGCCGCGGUAAUAC
rnacentral:rRNA from 1 species